rnacentral:tRNA from 1 species
GGAGAAAUGGCAGAGUGGUCGAAUGCGGUAGUCUUGAAAACUAUUGUGCGGCAACGUACCGGGGGUUCGAAUCCCUCUUUCUCCGCCA